AGCAACAAAUGCCCUGCUUCCAGGAAAAGCCUCUAAGCAUCAGGUAACAUCAAAUCGUACCCCAAACCGACACAGGUGGUCAGGUAGAGAAUACCAAGGCGCUUGAGAGAACUCGGGUGAAGGAACUAGGCAAAAUGGUGCCGUAACUUCGGGAGAAGGCACGCUGACACGUAGGUGAAGUGAUUUACUCAUGGAGCUGAAGUCAGUCGAAGAUACCAGCUGGCUGCAACUGUUUAUUAAAAACACAGCACUGUGCAAACACGAAAGUGGACGUAUACGGUGUGACGCCUGCCCGGUGCCGGAAGGUUAAUUGAUGGGGUCAGCGCAAGCGAAGCUCCUGAUCGAAGCCCCGGUAAACGGCGGCCGUAACUAUAACGGUCCUAAGGUAGCGAAAUUCCUUGUCGGGUAAGUUCCGACCUGCACGAAUGGCGUAAUGAUGGCCAGGCUGUCUCCACCCGAGACUCAGUGAAAUUGAACUCGCUGUGAAGAUGCAGUGUACCCGCGGCAAGACGGAAAGACCCCGUGAACCUUUACUAUAGCUUGACACUGAACAUUGAGCCUUGAUGUGUAGGAUAGGUGGGAGGCUUUGAAGUGUGGACGCCAGUCUGCAUGGAGCCGACCUUGAAAUACCACCCUUUAAUGUUUGAUGUUCUAACGUGGACCCGUGAUCCGGGUUGCGGACAGUGUCUGGUGGGUAGUUUGACUGGGGCGGUCUCCUCCUAAAGAGUAACGGAGGAGCACGAAGGUUGGCUAAUCCUGGUCGGACAUCAGGAGGUUAGUGCAAUGGCAUAAGCCAGCUUGACUGCGAGCGUGACGGCGCGAGCAGGUGCGAAAGCAGGUCAUAGUGAUCCGGUGGUUCUGAAUGGAAGGGCCAUCGCUCAACGGAUAAAAGGUACUCCGGGGAUAACAGGCUGAUACCGCCCAAGAGUUCAUAUCGACGGCGGUGUUUGGCACCUCGAUGUCGGCUCAUCACAUCCUGGGGCUGAAGUAGGUCCCAAGGGUAUGGCUGUUCGCCAUUUAAAGUGGUACGCGAGCUGGGUUUAGAACGUCGUGAGACAGUUCGGUCCCUAUCUGCCGUGGGCGCUGGAGAACUGAGGGGGGCUGCUCCUAGUACGAGAGGACCGGAGUGGACGCAUCACUGGUGUUCGGGUUGUCAUGCCAAUGGCACUGCCCGGUAGCUAAAUGCGGAAGAGAUAAGUGCUGAAAGCAUCUAAGCACGAAACUUGCCCCGAGAUGAGUUCUCCCUGAGACUUAAAGUCUCCUGAAGGAACGUUGAAGACGACGACGUUGAUAGGCCGGGUGUGUAAGCGCAGCGAUGCGUUGAGCUAACCGGUACUAAUGAACCGUGAGGCUUAACCUU
rnacentral:rRNA from 1 species